UUACGGCCAUAUCACGUUGAAAUACCACUUCCAGUCCGAUCACUGAAGUUAAACAACGUUGAGCCUUGUCAGUUCCUAGAUGGGUACCCACUUGCGAAUACCAGGUGAUGUAA